AUGUUUAAGAAUGUUUGGCUAAAUAUAUUCUUUCUGUUAUCUAAUACUAUUUCUCCAAAAUUCUUGUAUUUUUGGGAAGCUAUCGUGUUUCUGGUAAGUUACAAUAUUUCUGCUAAGUUCUGCUAUGCUAUUGUAUUUCUGCCAAGUAUUAUGUUUCCUCUAAGAUAUUGCAGUUCUGCUAAGUUACUACAUUUUAGCAACGUUCCUUUGCUUCUGCAAAGUUUUUACAAUUUCUGCAACUUUUCAGCUUUUUCAGCUAGUUUCAGCAGACAACUUCAGCGUUCCAGCAUCCACACUGCAUUUUCGCAGGAAAUGCAAAUUUUUCUAGUUAUUAUUAUUCUUCUAGUUAUUCUUCUAGUUGCUUCCGUACACUUUUUGGCACUUAACUACUUCCUCAGUUUUCAGCCGAUUUUCUCAGUUCAAACUCUAUACUGUUCUGCUCUUUCUGCUCUUUCCGGCAAUGACUUUUGGUGUUUAUUACUGUUAUACUUUUUAAAAUAUUACACUUUUUUCCUUUAAUUUGUCCCAUUGAAAUGAAUGGAAAACUUCCACAAUUCUGCUAAAACUUGCUUGUUUUUGAAACUUAACUACUUUGUCAUACUUUCACCUAGAAACUCCAUUCAAACUUUAAAAUGUUCUCAGACUAUUGGGCUAUUCCUGUCUGAUUCAGCUUUUUCAGAUCUUCUACCGUUUUAAUCUUAUACCUCUUUAAGUUUUCAGUUGCAAAAUUGUGAUUUUUCAGAAAAUACAUGCGUUGUUAUGGUUGCUAUGCAAUUAACUCAGAGUGGACACUCAUCCAUUCUGAAUUUUCUCUUCAUGUUCCAACAACUUCUUGCUACUCGCCCAAUUUCCACUCAACUCCCACAAAUUAUACAUCAAAACGUAGGUAUUUUUGCUGGCUUUCAAAAAAUGUCACUAUCAUUGUUGUGGGAGUUAUAGAUUUUUUGCAAAUCUCCUCAGAGUAACACAAAGUCUGAAAAUUGUCCAUAGAAAGUCAAUGGAGAGUUUGUUCAAAAUCACCGCUGUAUUUCUCUAAUGAGAGGCAUUUUUAAAUCGUCAUAUCUCCUUAACGAAACAAAGUUGAGACAUGAGGCUUGUGCAAAUAUAUCUUCAGACACUCCUGAUGCUCACAAUUCAAAAAGUGUUUUAUCACCUAUUACCGUUUGGCCAUGAAUUACACUUGUUUGAGAGUAGGAAAUUCAUGCCUUGCUCAGAUCUCUUCAGAUUUAAAACUCUGGAAAUGAGGCACUUUUUUCUCUCAUCAUAUCUUUUUGAUGGAUUUCCACAGAGACCUGAAAAUUCCCAUGACUGUUCACCAAAGCCUGCUGUUUCUUACGGUGAAAGAAUGAUUUUGAUGCUCCAUAUAGAUUUAGAGUUACAAAACGUUGUUUGAGGGCAAGUCAAGGCAGUUUUGCUUCGCCUCUACUCAGUUACAGUGUAUUACAAGUCAUAUAUCUUCAAUAAUUUAUAUUUUAUCUCUGAAUUAAGAAGACCUGCAGAUUCCCCCAUCUCUUCUGAACAAAACGGUGUCAGAACGACCAUUCUAGCCCCUACGGUUAGGAAAUUAUGGCCAUUUGUUCGAGGGGAAUCCUGAAUGUCAGAAAUACACUGAAGAAAACUCACACCUCUCUCUGUGUCUGUGUGUGUAAGGGCUGAUUACAGCAGGUGCAGCUAAUUUAACUGACCUAGAUAUACCAAGCCCAGACUCUUAACAGCUCCUGUUCACUUUGCGCUCUGUGUAUGUGUGUCUGUAUCAAUAUUUCUCUCAUGUUAAAGUAUUACUCCUCCAUAAUAGUAUUUCUGCUAAAUCAAAGUACUUCUACUACAUCUUAGUACUUCUGCUCAAUCAUAGUAUUUCUGCUAAAUCAUAGUAUUUUUGCCAAGUCAUGGUACUUGUGCCAAAUCAUGGUUUUUGUGUCAAAUCAUGACAUUUCUGAUAUAUUAUAGUAUUACUACUAGGUGGAAGUAUUUCUGUUAUGUUAUAGUAUAUAUGCUGAAUAUAGUAUAUCUGUCAAAUCAUAGUAUUUAUCCCAAAUCAUAGUAUUUAUGCCAAAUUACAGCAUUUCUGCCAAAAGGCAGAAAUAGUACCUUUGAGCAGAAAUUUCUGCCAAAAAAUAGUAUUUAUGUUAAAACAUAGUAUUUCUGCUAAAUCAUAGUAUUUGUACUGAAACAUAGUAUUUCUGCCCAAUCAUAGUAUUUGUACCCAAUCAUAGUAUUUCUGACAUAUCAUAGUAUUUGUGCCAAAUUAUGGGAUUUUGCCAAAACAUGGUACUUGUGCCAAAUUAUAGUAUUUGUGCCCAAUUAAUAUUUCUGUUAUGUUAUAGUAUUACUACUAUGUCGUAGAAUUUCUGUUAUGUUAUAGUAUAUCUGCUGAAUAAGGUAUAUGUGCCAAAACAUAGUAUUUAUACCAAAUCAUAAUAUUUGUGCUAAAACAUAGUAUUUCUGCCAUAUUGUGGUAUUUGUGCAAAAACAUAGACUGUCUGCAACAUAACAGUAUAUCUGUUAUGUUAUAGUAUUACUACUAAGUCACAGUAUUUCUGCCAAUUCGUAGUAUUUGUACUAAAUCAUACUACUCGUGCCAAAUCAUAGUAUUUGUUGCAAAUCAUAGUAUUCAAACCAAAAUAUAGUAUUUGUACCAAAGCAUUGUAUUUGUAUGAAGUACUGUAUUUCUGCCAAAUCAUAGAAUUACUGCAAUUUCAUAGUAUUUUGAGGAAUCCCUUUUGUGAUAGUAUUACUUCUAAGUCAUAGUAUUUCUGCUUUGUCAUAGUAUUUGUACUAAAAUGUAGCAUUUCUGCCAAAUCAUAGAAUUACUGCUAUCUCAUACUAUUUGAGUGAAAUUACAGUGUUUCUGCAAAAACAUUGUAUUUCUGCUAAAUCAUAGUAUUUCUGUUAUCUUAGAGUACUUGUACUCAAUUAUAGUAUUUGUGCCAAAGUUUAGUAUUUCUGCCAAAUCAUAUUUAUGUGAAUUUGUACACUGUAAUAUCGCUGUAUUACGUAGUGGCUAAGUAGGAGGCUGACUGUUACUAAGUGCAUCAGUGUACAUAGGUCAUCUCUUGUGUUGGAGUGCCCUCUUGUGGCGCCUUUUGGGUAGUGCCUUAGUAAACGUGAACACUGCAAAGAAGUGGUAUCAGACUGGUUUGUAGUGGAGGAAUUUGUUGCCAGUUUCUUUUCAUCUUUAAUCUGUAUUCAUAUUGUAAUGUAGUAGUACCACAAUAUGGCAGAAACACUAUGUUUUGGCACAAAUACUUUGAUUUGGUAUACUUUAGCUUCUUCACCCCUUUUCAGCAAAAUUUUCAUUUUUUUCACCCCUUUUCAGCACAAAUUCCAGCUUUUUUGGCUGUAUUCAGAAAAAAGACAACUCUUUUGAGCAGAAACUCUGCUGAUUCAUCUCUUUUCAGCGCAAGUUUCUGCUUCUUUGCCUCUUUUCUGCAGAAAUUCUGCUGAUUCACCUCUUUUCUGCAAAAUUUUCAGCCUUUUCACCUCUUAUCAGCACAAUUCUCAGCAGCUUCUGCUCAUUUCAGCAGAAUUGUCCGUCUCUCCACCUCUUCUUUGUAAGAAUGACUUUGGCUCAGGGAAAUGAAUAGCCGCCUUUGAGCAGAAAUUCUGCUGAUUCAUCUCUUUUCAGCGCAACUUAUUGCUUCUUUACCUCUUUUCUGCAGAAAUUCUGCUGAUGCACCUCUUUUCUGCAAAAUUUUCAGCCUUUUCACUUCUUCUCAGCACAAUUCUCAGCAGCUUCUGCUCAUUUAACAAAAUUGUCAGUUUCUCCAUUUCUUGUUUUUGAGAGAAAGAGUUUGGUUCAGUGAGAUGAGCAGCUGCCUUGAGACGAGAAGGGCCAGGUUCAAAUCCCGGUCAUGGCAAAACCUGUUUUCAGUUUUCUCUUUUGUUCUUUUGUUCUGCCUCUUUUCUGCAGAAAUUCUGCUGAUGCACCUCUUUUCUGCAAAAUUUUCAGCCUUUUCACUUCUUCUCAGCACAAUUCUCAGCAGCUUCUGCUCAUUUUAGCAGAAUUGUCGGUCUCUCCUCCUCCUUUUUGAGAGAAUGACUUUAGCUCAGUGAGAUGAGUAGCUGCCUUGAGACCAGGAGGGCCAGGUU
rnacentral:lncRNA from 1 species